rnacentral:rRNA from 1 species
AUCGAGUUGUGGUUUAAACGUAAGGCUCUUGGAUGGGUCUGCGGCGGAUUAGGUUGUUGCCGGUGUAACGUACCAGCAAGCCUGUAAUCCGUACGGGUUGUGGGAGCAAGAGCCCGGAGAUGGAUUCUGAGACACGAAUCCAGGCCCUACGGGGCGCAGCAGGCGCGAAAACUCUACAAUGCAGGCAACUGCGAUAGGGGAACAUCGAGUGGCAUCCACCAUGGAUGUCUGUCCAAUCGUCUAAAAAACGAUUGUCAGCAAGGGCCGGGCAAGACCGGUGCCAGCCGCCGCGGUAAUACCGGCGGCUCGAGUGGUGGCCGAUAUUAUUGAGUCUAAAGGGUCCGUAGCCGGCUUUGCAAGUCCUAUGGGAAAUCCAGCGGCUUAACCGUUGGGCUUUCAUGGGAUACUACAUUGCUUGGGACUGGGAGAGGUAGGAGGUACUCAGGGGGUAGGGGUGAAAUCCUGUAAUCCUUUGGGGACCACCGGUGGCGAAGGCGUCCUACCAGAACAGGUCCGACGGUGAGGGACGAAAGCUAGGGGCACGAACCGGAUUAGAUACCCGGGUAGUCCUAGCCGUAAACGAUGCUCGCUAGGUGUCACGGCAGUCGUGAAUUGUCGUGGUGCCGUAGGGAAGCCGUGA